rnacentral:tRNA from 1 species
GUAGCUCAGUGGUAGAGUACUUGCCUUGCAUGCAUGAAGCCCUGGGUUCGAUUCCUCAGC